rnacentral:rRNA from 1 species
GGACCCGCACAAGUAGUGGAGCAUGUGGUUUAAUUCGAAGAUACGCGCAGAACCUUACCAACACUUGACAUGUUCGUCGCGACUUUAAGAGAUUAAAGUUUUCGGUUCGGCCGGACGAAACACAGGUGCUGCAUGGCUGUCGUCAGCUCGUGUCGUGAGAUGUUGGGUUAAGUCCCGCAACGAGCGCAACCCUCACUUUUAGUUGCCAUCAUUAAGUUGGGCACUCUGAAAGAACUGCCAGUGAUAAGCUGGAGGAAGGUGGGGAUGACGUCAAGUCCUCAUGGCCCUUACGUGUUGGGCUACACACGUGCUACAAUGCUACGGACAAAGGGCAGCAAGUUCGCGAGGAC